rnacentral:misc_RNA from 1 species
GAUGAAGAACGUAGUGAACUGCGAUAAGUAAUGUGAAUUGCAGAAUUCAGUGAAUCAUCGAGUCUUUGAACGCACAUUGCGCCCUUUGGUAUUCCGAAGGGCAUGCCUGUUCGAGCGUCAUUAUCACCCCUCAAGCCCUCGGCUUGGUGUUGGACGGUUUGGUGGAGGCCCCCUCGGGGGCUCCUGCCCCUCCCAAAGACAAUGACGGCGGCCUCGUUGGACCCCCGGUACACUGAGUUCUUCACGGGACACGUAUCGGACACAUGGGUUUACGGGACACGGUCUGCCUCCCCUCAGGGAGAAUCUUUCUAAGGUUGACCUCGGAUCAGGUAGGGAUACCCGCUGAACUUAAGCAUAUCAAUAAGCGGAGGA